rnacentral:lncRNA from 1 species
CUGGUGAGCAGAGGCCAGGUUGGGAGGGCAGGGGUGAGUGCAGAUGGAGGAGGCCAGGCUGGGAGGGCAGGGGUGAGUGCAGAUGGAAGAGGCCGAGCUGGGAGGGGAUGGGUGGGUGGAGAUGGAAGAGGCCGAGCUGAGAGGGGAUGGGUGGGUGGAGAUGGAAGAGGCCGAGCUGAGAGGGGAUGGGUGGGUAGAGAUGGAAGAGGCCGAGCUGAGAGGGGAUGGGUGGGUGGAGAUGGAAGAGGCCGAGCUGAGAGGGGAUGGGUGGGUGGAGAUGGAAGAGGCCGAGCUGAGAGGGGAUGGGUGGGUGCAGAUGGACGAGGCCGAGCUGAAGGCAGGGGUGGGUGGAGAUGGAGGAAGCCAAGGGAAGGAAAAGGUGGUGACAAGAGUGGCAGGCACUUUCUGGGAAGCUGGAAUAAGGGAAGGCACUGGGAGCCAUCCGCUGGUGCCAGGGAGAGUUCCAUUACAAGGAGCAGCUGAACUCAGCUGUCUCCAGAGCCAGGGGCUAGGUGGGCAGCUUCUCCAGAGGAACAAGGGUGCCCCCCGUCCCUGAUCAACUAGGGUGUCUGUCAUUCAUUGUUGGCCUUACAAAGCUGGUGAGGGAACAAGAAAAAAAAUGCACACGAAGUUCAAGUGCUUCACACCUAGCUUUCCAACACAUAGGAGGAGACGGCAGGAGGGGUCAGAAUCCCCGAACUGUGGGAGGCCUGGGACUCCUAGGUCUCAG